rnacentral:tRNA from 1 species
GCAGAUGUGGUGGAAUUGGCAGACACACCAGAUUUAGGUUCUGGUGGGAAACCGUACGGGUUCAAGUCCCGUCUUCUGCACCA